GACGAACGCUGGCGGCGUGCUUAACACAUGCAAGUCGAACGGAAAGGCCCUGCUUGUGGUGGAUGCUCGAGUGGCGAACGGGUGAGUAACACGUGAGUAACCUGCCCUUGACUUUGGGAUAACUGCAGGAAACUGGGGUUAAUACCGGAUAUGAGCGCCGGCUGCAUGGUGGGGGUUGGAAAGUUUCGGCGGUGGGGGGUGGACUCGCGGCUUAUCAGCUGGUUGGUGGGGUAGUGGCUUACCAAGGCUUUGACGGGUAGCCGGCCGGAGAGGGUGACCGGCCACAUUGGGACGGAGAUACGGCCCAGACUCCUACGGGAGGCAGCAGUGGGGAAUAUUGCACAAUGGGCGGAAGCAUGAUGAAGCAACGCCGCGUGCGGGAUGACGGCCUUCGGGUUGUAAACCGCUUUCGCCUGUGACGAAGCGUGAGUGACGGUAAUGGGUAAAGAAGCACCGGCUAACUACGUG
rnacentral:rRNA from 1 species